GAUUCAUUCAAAUUUCUGCCCUAUCAACUUUCGAUGGUAGGAUAGUGGCCUACCAUGGUUUCAACGGGUAACGGGGAAUUAGGGUUCUAUUCCGGAGAAGGAGCCUGAGAAACGGUACUACAUCCAAGGAAGGCAGCAGGCGCGCAAAAUACCCAAUCCCGACCGGGGAGGUAGUGACAAUAAAUACUGAUACAGGGCUCUUUUGAGUCUUGUAAUUGGAAUGAGUACAAUUUAAAUCCCUUAACGAGGAACAAUUGGAGGGCAGUCUGGUGCAGCAGCCGCGGUAAUUCCAGCUCCAAUAGCGUAUAUUAAAGUUGUUGCAGUUAAAAAGCUCGUAGUUG
rnacentral:rRNA from 1 species